GACGAACGCUGGCGGCGUGCUUAACACAUGCAAGUCGAACGGAAAGGCCCUGCUUUUGUGGGGUGCUCGAGUGGCGAACGGGUGAGUAACACGUGAGUAACCUGCCCUUGACUUUGGGAUAACUUCAGGAAACUGGGGCUAAUACCGGAUAGGAGCUCCUGCUGCAUGGUGGGGGUUGGAAAGUUUCGGCGGUUGGGGAUGGACUCGCGGCUUAUCAGCUUGUUGGUGGGGGAGUGGCUUACCAAGGCUUUGACGGGUAGCCGGCCUGAGAGGGUGACCGGCCACAUUGGGGCUGAGAUACGGCCCAGACUCCUACGGGGGGCAGCAGUGGGGAAUAUUGCACAAUGGGCGGAGGCCUGCUGAAGCAACGCCGCGUGCGGGAUGACGGCCUUCGGGUUGUAAACCGCUUUCGCCUGUGACGAAGCGUGAGUGACGGUAAUGGGUAAAGAAGCACCGGCUAACUACGUG
rnacentral:rRNA from 1 species